AGUAACGCGUGGAUAACCUGCCUCAUACAGGGGGAUAACAGUUAGAAAUGACUGCUAAUACCGCAUAAGCGCACAGUUUCGCAUGGAACAGUGUGAAAAAACUCCGGUGGUAUGAGAUGGAUCCGCGUCUGAUUAGCUAGUUGGCGGGGUAACAGCCCACCAAGGCGACGAUCAGUAGCCGGCCUGAGAGGGUGAACGGCCACAUUGGGACUGAGACACGGCCCAAACUCCUACGGGAGGCAGCAGUGGGGGAUAUUGCACAAUGGGGGAAACCCUGAUGCAGCCGACGCCGCGUGAGUGAAGAAGUAUUUCGGUAUGUAAAGCUCUAUCAGCAGGGAAGAUAAUGACGGUACCUGACUAAGAAGCACCGGCUAAAUACGUGCCAGCAGCGGC
rnacentral:rRNA from 1 species